UGCCCUGAUGCCACUGGUCUCUUGGUCUCUUUCUGGAGAUCCCUCCUUUUGGGGUUUUCUGCUGUGAGCCUAGAACAUGGGGUGCAGCCCUAUUGGUCCCUCUGCCCUGCUAGUUGUGAAACUGAGCUGAACCAGCUCGUAAACAGAUGAUGCAGAGACAUCAGCAUGAGACAUUAAGGAUUAUGAGGCUUCAGUAGGAGGUUAAGAACAAGAAUACUUCUAAUGCUCACAUUAACUCUUCCAGUAUUGACUCAAAUAUCUUCGCAUCAUGAUGUACAAUGGAAAAUUGAUGAUAAUGACUCUUGAUCUAGUCUACUCUACUUGAGCCAGUGUGUGACAUGGAGAAAUAGCUGCCUUUCAAUCUCACCUGGGGCCUGUGAUGUUAAUUCAAUAUGAAGAUGGUGGCAGCGCUGGAUUGGCUGCCUGGCAGAAUUGAGCAUAGCAACCCUCACAGUGUGCCUUCCCUCACCCAGCUGCAGCACCUCACAGCCCUCAAGCUGGUUUGGAGGAAAGCCCUCAACUGGUUUUGGAGGAGUCCUUGUGCUGCCCUUUAAUAUCACCUUAAAAUAAAGUUGUUGUUAGAUUGCUAAUCUUUAAUCUUAAUUCUGUAUAGGAUUUAUACAGAUGCAUGAUGUUAGUCUCUUCUCAUCUACCUAGAAGCGUGGAUGCCAAGAACGCUUCAGAGUAUAGAAUUUAGUGUGGCUGCCAUAUUCAAUCAUGAAGGUCUGAAGGGAGUGAACAGGCAUGUGUGGAUUGAUUGCUCCUUAAGUUUUUUCAAGUAGCAUACACUGAUAACUAUUACUUAAUAAUUACUUUCUAACUAACUGCUGAUUAAGACUGACGUUCUUCAGUAGUAUUCCUUCUUUAGUGACACUCUCUACUGAGCCCUGCAAGUGACAUCACUGAAGCCAGUGCCGAGACUAUAUGUAUGUAACUGUUCUGUUGAAAGAUCAAAAUUUAUUUUGGAAAAUAAAUGGCCCGAAUAAGCAUUACACUCUUGAAUUCCACUACCAAAAGUGAAACGCACCAGAAUGCUGUUUAUAUUUCCUAUAUCUUCCUUUUCUUCUAAAAGGAAAUUCUGUAGCAGCAGGUGACAGUUCUAGAUGAAAUUCUUGCUAAAAAGCAUUAUAUUCCAUCCUGAAAUAUGUCUUCAUAGCUAUUUAGAACUGUGAGGCUAUAUGAAAAGUAAUCCUAGGGUGAACUUCAGUUGAAUCCAACAAAGCUUUCUAUAAUAUCUCCUCUUUCCCCAAAAGCAAGGACCUUACAAAGGUUGUACAAUGCCUGAUAAAUAAAGUCUGUAAGGAACCAUCAGUAGAAUUCAUUUAUUUUGGAAGUUUGAAAAGGUAUGAACAGUGCCAUAUUUUAUUUAUUGAUUGCUAGCAUUACUUCUAAGCAAAUAACACAGCAUGCAUUGUAAUUAUAUGUUUAUAUUUCUCUUCACAGAAAAGGUCAGUAGAGGUUUCAGGUUUGGGGAUUAGCAAAUCUGCCAAUUGAGUUAAGCCAGCAGCUCCUGCCCUCUCUUUGUAUCAGUGAUAGUUUUGGGGUUCCUGCCCUCACUGGCUGUGUUUCCUGUCUUACUCUUUCACAGUUCGAGAAGCAGUGACUGUUCACAGCUCUACCAGUCUAAAGGUAGAUGUCUGCUUUGGUAGGAAAUGAUAUUCCUGAGAACAUAUGCCCUGUUACACUUCUUUUGUAGUUUAAUGAACAGAUCUUUCAUUGUAAAUGACAAUGCCAUUUUUGCAUAGAUUCUGCAAAGGUUUUAUGUAGAUCUGUAUUGGAUAAAUGGA